GAAAGUAUGGAUGUAGUUAAAGGGUGGAUGUAGUUAAAGGGUGGAUGUAGUUAAAGGUGACCUGAAUGAAGCUCAGUGGUGGUAACGGACUCACAAAGCUACAAACACAGCAGCCCUGCAGUGAGACCCAGACAACACCGGGUCACAAACAACCAUCCAACAUGCUCCUGUAGCUGUGACUACAGCGUGUGGAUGGUAGUGACUGAUGGACAGGUGUCACUGUGUGUGGUUCACCUGUCAUCAGGGGGUCAAUGAUGUCAUGUAGUGUUAAAGCGCUUUGAGUGGUCAGAAGACAAGUGCUAUACAAGUACAGUCCAUUUACCUCAGUGGCCCCUCAGUGGUCCCUCAGUGGUCCCUCAGUGGCCCCUCAGUGGUCCCUCAGUGGUUCCUCAGUGGUCCCUCAGUAGUCCCUCAGUGGCCCCUCAGUGGUCCCUCAGUGGUCCCUCAGUGGCCCCUCAGUGGUCCCUCAGUGGUCCCUCAGUGGUUCCUCAGUGGUCCCUCAGUAGUCCCUCAGUGGCCCCUCAGUGGUCCCUCAGUGGUCCCUCAUGGGCCUCACAGGCUUCUGUCAGCUGUCAGAGAGUAAACAUCAUUUCCUCUGAUGUAAAUAACAUUUGAAAGGCGCUGCUCUUGUCGUUGUGCAUCAGUUCGAAUGGAUUGUUUGUAAAUAAAUGUGACCUGUGAGUUUCCUGUUGUCAUUGACUUAAUUACAUUGUUAUGACUCUACUAUGUUAAUUAUUAUCCGUCAUGCAUUUGUAGGUGUUGAUCUUAACGCUUUAUUUCACCUUAUACUGUGUGACAGUGUUAUGUGAAUAUGAGGUGUUACACAAAACAAAUAAUAACCUG
ensembl:lncRNA